rnacentral:rRNA from 1 species
AUGAACGCUAGCUACAGGCUUAGCACAUGCCAGUCGAGGGGCAGCGGUAUCGAAAGCUUGCUUUCGGUAGCCGGCGACCGGCGCACGGGUGAGUAACGCGUAUCGAACCUGCCUCAUACUCGGGAAUAGCCUUGCGAAAGUAAGAUUAAUGCCCGGUGUUUUCAGAGUCCCGCAUGAGGCUUUGAACAAAGAUUUAUCGGUAUGAGAUGGCGAUGCGUCCCAUUAGCUUGUUGGCGGGGUAACGGCCCACCAAGGCAUCGAUGGGUAGGGGGUCUGAGAGGAAGGUCCCCCACAUUGGAACUGAGACACGGUCCAAACUCCUACGGGAGGCAGCAGUGAGGAAUAUUGGUCAAUGGGCGGAAGCCUGAACCAGCCAAGUAGCGUGCAGGAAGACGGCCCUCCGGGUUGUAAACUGCUUUUAGUUGGGAAUAAAACGGGGCUCGUGAGCCCCCUUGCAUGUACCAUCAGAAAAAGGACCGGCUAAUUCCGUG